CAUAGAAUUUAGAGGGAGUGACGGAACUAGUAUGACCGCUUAACUUUGUUGCUGUAACAUUGAAUAUUCAAUAUCUUCGUGCGUCUCUUCUGUUUUGCAACGAUGGAUCUUCGUUCCGGACAGGUCGUAUUCUUCCUGAUUCUUGGCAUAUCUUUCAUUUGGGCUGCUAGUAGCAAACCCUCAGGUAAUAGUUGCUCGAAGAAGAAGAAAGAUCCAAGUAGAAUUACGCUUAGCCAAGGCAUUGAGACUUAUCCUUUUUUUCAAAAAUCUGUAAAUCGUCGUAGUAUUGAAAACAAUCCAUUCUUGCGCAUCCCUGAUAACAAAAAUCAAACCGGCAAUCCAUUCUUUCAUAUCCCUGACAACACAAACCAGGCCGGCAAUCCAUUCUUGUAUAUCCCCGAUAACAAAAACCAAUCUACCAAUCUAUUCUCGCAAAUUCCCGAUAGCAAAACUCGAUCUGGCAAUCCAUUCUUGCAAAUUCUCGAUAACAAAAACCAACCUGGCAAUGCAAGUAUUGACCAGACGCGCAAGAAUAUAAAUUUAAAUAUUAUUUUUAACAGUAAUAAUCCCUUUUUAUUCAACUUUACUAACCCAAGAAUCAAUACUGAAACUACUUCUACUGCACCUUUCACGCAAGCAUCUCACAAAUCAACUUACGCACCAGAAUUAGUUACUCCAACAUCGCUCACAUCACUACCAACCACUGAUAGAUCUCAUCUGAUAAUUUCUCCUAUUAAAGUUGAGCCUCCAACCUCAAGCGGUCCAUUGCUGUCUUCCUUCCAGAUUGGCCCAGUAAAGACGAUAUCAGAACAAAAAUGUGACGAAUACGUAAGGGAGAUUGUAGGUAUAACUGAAAUAAUGCCUUUAGUCGGCACAUCAUUCGACGUGAUUCAGGUGAAUAAUGUCUGUUACAAUGAGAACAAGUUAGUGAUAGGAGGUACCGAGGCGAAGAAAGGCGAGUUUCCUCACAUGGUCGCUUUGGGAAAACGUAACUCUGAUGAAACAUUCAUUCUAAUAUGCGGCGGCACUCUGAUUUCUCACACCUGGGUACUUUCUGCUGCACAUUGCACUUAUGGGCCAAAUGGCAGUCCGUCUAUUGUUCGAGUAGGCUUCCUCACACUGACGGAUAAACAAUUCGGCGCUACUUUUGACAUUAAGAAUAUGAUACGACAUCCGAAUUACAGACCACCCGCAAUGUACGCAGAUAUAGCUUUAAUCGAACUUGCGAGCGCUGUUACAUUCAGCGAGUUAAUACGGCCCGCGUGCCUCUAUCAGCAGUACGACACCGUGCCCAUGAGCGCCUGGAUUAGCGGCUGGGGCGUUACCGAAUAUGCUGGAGAACAAACUGAUCGACUGCAGAAGGCCCAGCUGAAUCUGAUUGAUAAUCUAGUGUGCGCGAUACGGCAUAACAGUUCCACGGAAGUUCCGUAUGGUGUCACGCCAAGCAUGAUUUGUGCCGGUGAUCCUCACGGCGGCUGGACCAAAGACUCCUGCCAAGGUGAUUCCGGCGGUCCUCUGCAAGUGAUCCAUCCUAAGAAUCAGUGUCUCUUCCAAGUGAUUGGCAUCACCAGUUUCGGCCAAGGCUGCGCGAUUACCGAUAUACCUGGUGUUUACACCAGAGUGUCCCAUUACCUUACCUGGAUAGAAAAUAUCGUCUGGCCGCAAAAUCAAUAAUUGUGAUUUAAUCAACUUAAUUAAAAGCGCAAUAUUUAAUCUGCUGAAUAAUUCCGGACUUUCAGAGAGAUGUCGUUUGUGCUCCAAUUAUUGCCCGUUAAAACAGUAGUUGUGUGUAUGAACCCAAAAGUUGUAAACAAAAAAAAAACACUGAACGGAAUACAGGAUUGACGAUUGGAUAUUUUGAAUAUCAGAAAAAUCAAGAGAUU